CUGAAAAACCCAACUCCAAAAAGGAAUGUCGUCACCUUUUUUUGAACGCUUGCUCCUUUUUGGACUUACAGGAGCAAAUCAAAUAUAAUGAUUUGACAUUUCUAUGUGCAGAAAUGUUUUUGUCUUUAUUUUAGCAGGACAGGUCCUGCAUAUCAAACAACAUCAAUGCUGGGGAGAGAGCGGAGACCCUUUAGGUCACCAGGCUGCUCGUUAUGGAGCACACCUGUCACCAUCGUUACAACCACCUGCGCGUCAUCAAACUCACCUGGACUCCCUCACUUCCUGUUUACCUGCCCUAUAUAGAGUAUGUCACUCC
ensembl:lncRNA